rnacentral:rRNA from 1 species
GACGAACGCUGGCGGCGUGCCUAAUACAUGCAAGUCGAACGCAGUGGGGACGGGUGAGUAACACGUGGGUAACCUCCCAUCAGAGGGGAUAACACUUGGAAACAGGUGCUAAACCGAUCCUGCUGGAUGGACCCCCGGUGCAUUAGCUAGUUGGUGAGGUAACGGCUCACCAAGGCCACAAUGCAUAGCGGACCUGGGAGGGUGAUCGGCCACACUGGGACUGAGAGACGGACCAGACUCCUACGGGAGGCAGCAGUAGGGAAUCUUCGGCAAUGGACGAAAGUCUGACCGAGCAACGCCGCGUGAGUGAAGAAGGUUUGCGGAUCGUAAAACUCUGUUGUUAGAGAAGCGGUAUCUAACCAGAAAGCCACGGCUAACUACGUGCCAGCAGCCGCGGUAAUUC